GACGAACGCUGGCGGCGUGCCUAACACAUGCAAGUCGAACGGUAACAGGUCUUCGGACGCUGACGAGUGGCGAACGGGUGAGUAAUACAUCGGAGCGUGCCCAGUCGUGGGGGAUAACUACUCGAAAGAGUAGCUAAUACCGCAUACGAUCUGAGGAUGAAAGCGGGGGACCUGCGGGCCUCGCGCGAUUGGAGCGGCCGAUGGCAGAUUAGGUAGUUGGUGGGAUAAAAGCUUACCAAGCCGACGAUCUGUAGCUGGUCUGAGAGGACGACCAGCCACACUGGGACUGAGACACGGCCCAGACUCCUACGGGAGGCAGCAGUGGGGAAUUUUGGACAAUGGGCGAAAGCCUGAUCCAGCAAUGCCGCGUGCAGGAUGAAGGCCUUCGGGUUGUAAACUGCUUUUGUACGGAACGAAAAAGCUCCUUCUAAUACAGGGGGCCCAUGACGGUACCGUAAGAAUAAGCACCGGCUAACUACGUGCCAGCAGCCGCAGUAA
rnacentral:rRNA from 1 species